UACGGAGGGUGCGAGCGUUGUCCGGAAUCACUGGGCGUAAAGGGCGCGUAGGCGGCCUGGUAAGUAGGGGGUGAAAUCCUGCGGCUUAACCGCAGGGCUGCCUUCUAAACUGUCAGGCUCGAGCACGGUAGAGGCAGAUGGAAUUCCCGGUGUAGCGGUGGAAUGCGUAGAUAUCAGGAAGAACACCCGUGGCGAAGGCGGCUCUCUGGGACGGUACUGACACUGAGGAGCGAAAGCGUGGGGAGCGAACAGG
rnacentral:rRNA from 1 species